CAGGCGACCCAUACUUGGUUUC
rnacentral:miRNA from 1 species